rfam:Dipodomys ordii contig_30084, whole genome shotgun sequence.
UGGCUCAGUGGUAGAGUGCAUGCCUUGCAUGCAUGAGACCUUAGGUUCAAUUCUCAG